AACGCACAUUGCACCUUCUGGUAUUCCGGAGGGUAUGCCUGUUCGAGCGUCAUUUCAACCCUCAAGCUCAGCUUGGUAUUGGGUGUCACCUGGCAAUGGUGCACCUUAAAAUCAGCAGCGGUGCUAUCUGGCUUCAAGUGUAGUAAAACAAUCGCUUUGGAGGUUUGGAUAUGUUGCUUGCUAAUAACCCCUAAUUUAUUCAAAGGUUGACCUCGGAUCAGGUAGGGAUAUCCGCUGAACUUAA
rnacentral:misc_RNA from 1 species